rnacentral:rRNA from 1 species
AACGAACGCUGGCGGCGUGCGUAACACAUGCAAGUCGAACGCGAAAGUCCGGGCAACUGGGCGAGUAGAGUGGCGCACGGGUGCGUAACACGUGGGUGACCUACCCUCGAGUGGGGCAUAACUCCGCGAAAGGGGAGCUAAUUCCGCAUGAGACCACGGCUGCGACAGGAGCUGCGGUCAAAGGGGGCGUUUAGGGGGCCGAAGCCACGGGCUGGGGGAGUGCUGCAGGAGGGGUGUUCGCCAGGCUGGGGGUUGGUUCCGUGAGGUUUCUGCUUGAGGAGGGGCCCGCGGCCCAUCAGCUAGUUGGUAGGGUAACGGCCUACCAAGGCGACGACGGGUAGCUGGUCUGAGAGGACGACCAGCCACACGGGAAUUGAGAGACGGUCCCGACUCCUACGGGAGGCAGCAGUGGGGAAUUUUUGGGC